rnacentral:lncRNA from 1 species
CAGGGAAGCGGUCACGGGAGCGGUUAUGGCGAGGGAAGCGGUUAUGGUCAGGGGAGCGGCCAGGGUCAAGGAAGUGGAAGCGGCCAGGGUCAAGGAAGGGGGAGCGGUCAUGGCCAGGGUCAGGGAAGUGGAAGCGGCCAGGGAAGCGGCUAUGGCGAGGGAAGCGGUCAUGGUCAGGGAAGCGGCUAUGGCGAGGGAAGCGGUCACGGAAGCGGUUAUGGUCAGGGGAGCGGCCAGGGUCAGGGAAGUGGGAGCGGCUAUGGCGAGGGAAGCGGUCAUGGUCAAGGAAGUGGAAGCGGCCAGGGGAGCGGCUAUGGCGAGGGAAGCGGUCAUGGUCAGGGAAGUGGAAGCGGCCAGGGGAGCGGCUAUGGCGAGGGAAGCGGUCAGUCAUGGAAGCGGAUAUGGCCAGGGGUGUGGUCACGGUCAUGGAAGCGGUUAUGGCCAGGGGAGUGGUCACGGUCAGGGAAGCGGCUAUGGCCAGGGAAGCGGUCACGGGAGCGGUUAUGGCGAGGGAAGCGGUUAUGGUCAGGGGAGCGGCCAGGGUCAGGGAAGCGGUCACGGAAGUGGCUAUGGCCAGGGGAGCGGUUAUGGCGAGGGAAGUGGUCAGGGGAGCGGCCAGGGUCAAGGAAGUGGAAGCGGCCAGGGUCAAGGAAGGGGGAGCGGUCAUGGCCAGGGUCAGGGAAGUGGAAGCGGCCAGGGAAGCGGCUAUGGCGAGGGAAGCGGUCAUGGUCAGGGAAGCGGCUAUGGCGAGGGAAGCGGUCACGGAAGCGGUUAUGGUCAGGGGAGCGGCCAGGGUCAGGGAAGUGGGAGCGGCUAUGGCGAGGGAAGCGGUCAUGGUCAAGGAAGUGGAAGCGGCCAGGGGAGCGGCUAUGGCGAGGGAAGCGGUCAUGGUCAGGGAAGUGG